UACGUAGGGUGCAAGCGUUAAUCGGAAUUACUGGGCGUAAAGCGUGCGCAGGCGGCUUUGCAAGACAGAUGUGAAAUCCCCGGGCUUAACCUGGGAACUGCAUUUGUGACUGCAUGGCUGGAGUGCGGCAGAGGGGGAUGGAAUUCCGCGUGUAGCAGUGAAAUGCGUAGAUAUGCAGAGGAACACCGAUGGCGAAGGCAGUCCCCUGGGCCUGCACUGACGCUCAUGCACGAAAGCGUGGGGAGCAAACAGG
rnacentral:rRNA from 1 species